UACGUAGGGCGCAAGCGUUGUCCGGAAUUAUUGGGCGUAAAGAGCUCGUAGGCGGUUUGUCGCGUCGGAUGUGAAAGCCCGGGGCUUAACCCCGGGUCUGCAUUCGAUACGGGCAGACUGGAGUGUGGUAGGGGAGAUCGGAAUUCCUGGUGUAGCGGUGAAAUGCGCAGAUAUCAGGAGGAACACCGGUGGCGAAGGCGGCUCACUGGCUCAUUACUGACGCUCAGGCGCGAUAGCGUGGGGAUCAAACAGG
rnacentral:rRNA from 1 species